UACAGAGGGUGCGAGCGUUAAUCGGAAUUACUGGGCGUAAAGCGUGCGUAGACGGUCAAGUAAGUCGGGUGUGAAAGCCCCGGGCUCAACCUGGGAAUUGCAUUCGAGACUGCGUGGCUAGGGUGCGGAAGAGGGAAGCGGAAUUUCCGGUGUAGCGGUGAAAUGCGUAGAGAUCGGGAGGAACAUCUGUGGCGAAGGCGGCCACCUGGACCAACACUGACACUGAGGCACGAAAGCGUGGGGAGCAAACAGG
rnacentral:rRNA from 1 species